rnacentral:tRNA from 2 species
GGCUUUAUAGUGGAAAAAAGACGUCAAAUUGCAAAUUUGAAGAUGUAGAGAUUACUAAAGCUU